CCAUCUAGAAUAGCACCUCCAGAAUGGAGGGGCAAAAAGAAUAAUUAAGCCUCCACACCCCAAAAGUAGGUGGAAGCAGGCCGCCCGAUGCCUCUGAGCAGAAGCUGGGUGGCCGGUGGUCAGGAGAGGACGGCUGGGGGCGGGGGGCUCUUCCACCUGGGGAGGAGGCGGCUUUAGGAGCAGGGUAGCGGCGCCUGCCCCAACCACACGAUGCGGGCUGCCGUCUGAGGAAACCAGGCUGGAAUCGGCGAGAACAGAGUUUAUUCAGGACUAUUGCAACAGGGGGAAGGAGACCUCGGAACAGAACUGGGCUCAGCUCUGAACACGGCACAGGCAGUGGGACCUGACAGCCGAGGAGCAGGUGGGGUGGAGGACAGAAAGCGACUAAGAGGAAACGUCCGGUGACGGGGAUUGGGCCAAACCCAGCUGCAGGAUUCUUGCUGAGGACAGGCCAGGGUGGCCAGACAUCACCUGGGGGUGGUGGGGACGGGGAUCAGACGCGGAGGGUGCUCAGACGCCGGGACGGGCGGGGAGCCUCCGUACAGGCUGCCUAGGCAGAGACUCUUUGUCCCCCUCACUGGCACCUGCCGACACCGACCACAGCAGGCACCAUGCCGGAAGCUUCGCCUGCUACUCAGCCCUGAUCUCUGUGGGCUGAUGGCCCCAGCAGCCAAGGGCUGACCUUGUGGCCUCCCCGUCUCUGGGGGAGGGACCCUGUUUCGCCCCCUUCUCUACUCCCCCUGGAGAGGGUCGCUGCCAGACGCCCACCUACCUGCACUAAGCCCUCCGGAGGCUUAUUUAUCCCGCCUUCACAGCCAUGAUGUGCAUGUCGGCCCCAUUUCACAAACAAGGCCACUGAAGCUUAGAAGGGUUAAAUAAUACAGCCAAGGCCACUCAGCCUGCAAGGGACAGAGCCAGGACCUGAGCCCCGGCCGUCAGAUUCCAGUGCAUCCUACGUGCAGCUGGAGCUCCAGGGCUGACUCCUCUGCCACCACCCCCAUGUCCCCGCUCGGCCGCUGACCAGCACUUGGGCCCGUCUGGGCAUAGCCGGUGUCCACGUCUCCGUGCCCCGCCCCCUCCCGUGGCCCCCCGAGCUGAGCCGCUGGCAGCUGGCCUGGGCGCAGUGGCCCAGCGUUCCGGAUCUACAGUUCGGGGACGGGAGGGAGGCGGCCAUAGCUGGCUCUGGGAGCUGGAGCUGGGUCGGGAACCAAAGGUCCGGAGGUCAGAAGUCUGAAUCGAGGUGUCAGCGGGAGGAGCCCUUCUUGCCUUCUAGCUCCCGGAGGCCUGGCAAGCCCCAGCAUUGCCUGGCUGCGAAUGCGUCAGUCAGUCCGAUGUCAGCCUCUGCCUGCGUGUGGCCGUCUUCCCUCUGUGCGUCGGGGUCCAAAUUUCCCUCUUCCUGUAAGGACAGCGGUCGCUGGAUUGGGGCCCACCCUGAUCUCGUAUGACCUCAGCUUGAUUAUAUCUGCAAAGACUUUUCGGCUGCCGUCACAUUCCCAGGUAGCGGGAGUUAGGACUCUUUUCGGGGGGACACGAUUUAGCCCAGAGCGUCCUCUAUAAAGUGCCUGGCCGUGGAAGGUGCUUGAUAACUGGGGGUGGUGGGUGCGCAGACAGAUCCAGAGUGAGCAAGAGAGGAGGAAUGCUGUGUACCCCUGGACAGACACACGCCCUCUCUGGGCUGCAGCCGUCCCAUUUGCAACACGGGAUAACAGAGCGUCUCCUUUCCCGGGUGUUAUGAGGGUUACCUGAGGUAACGCCCGCAAAGGACCUGGUGCCCGGAUGCUCAGGAAAUGCCAGUUCCCCCACGUGAAGAAACGGUGACGUCCGGGGGGCUUUGGUGGCUAAUGUCCCCCGUGGCUUUCUCUGGUGACUGGGAGAGAGGAGAAAUGGGGGCUAGUGGCGGUUGGGGAGGGCACAGUGCAUAGGCCGGUGUUUUUCAAAAGCCCGGGGGUCCUAGAGGAAGAGGGUUCGGCGAGCCGUUGACCUUGGAGUCUGCACGCGUGUGCGCCCACAGGCCAGAGCUCAGGACCAGGUGCUGGUGUCUGAGAGCCAGGCAAGGCCGCUGUCAGCGGGACAGGCCUGGCAGAAUGUUUCGUGCUGGAGUGAUUGGAAGUGACGGCGGGCUGGGUGGGGAACGAGCAGGGCGAGGGAGCCAGCGGCGUCUGCAGGCUCAAGCUGCAACGCAUUAGUCCGGCCGGCCGGGCGGGGGAGGGGCCGCGGGAAGGGGAAUUCUAUGGGGGGUGCUUCUAGACGGAAAGCAAGAAAGUAGGAACCCUAGGGAAGACCCUGGAAGCCAGAAGGUGGGUUGACAGGGAGGAGAGGGCAGUGGGGAUGGAGGGACUGAGCACCUCCACUGUGCAAUCCUGUGCAACCUCUAGGAGUAGAUGCUCUCACUGUGUCCAUUUUACAGAGGAGGAAACUGAGGCUGAGAGGGGAAGGUCCUUUUCUCUUGUCCUUUCGUCUCUGCCAUCACAUCUACCUGUCUUUUUCCUCUGUAUCUUUUCUUCUUCCUCCUUCAUCUGUGGUAGGCUGAAUAACGGCCCCCAAAUACAUGCAAAUCACACGCCCCUGAGAAUGUUCCCUUCUGUGGCGAGAGACUGUGCAGGUGUGAUUAAGGCGAAGCUCUUGAGAUGGGCCGGCGGCCCCAGAGUAUCUGGGCGAGCCUGAUAGGGUCCAAGGGAGGCGGGGGGAGGCAGAGGCAGAGGAGAAGGCACAUGGCGCCAGAGUGGAGGCCAGAGCUAUGACGGCGGAGGGAGAGGCCACAAGCCACAGGACACAGCCAGCAGCAGCAGCAGCCGGGGACGUUAAGGAAACUGAUUCUCCCCUGGAGCCUCCGGAAGGCGCAGCUGGCCAGCACCGUGACUGCAGCCGCGACACUCGUUUCAGAUCCCGACCGCACGCUGUGCGAGGACGAAUCUGUCUUGGCCUCAUCCCGAGGUCUGUGGUCGCUCGUUACAGCAGCAGCUCGAGGAAGCUGAUAGUGUCGUCCCCAGCUCGGUCCACACCUCCACCGCCUCCUCUUCCUGGCUCCCCUCCCCUCUCCUCCUACUCCUUCCGCUCCUCCCCCGCUACUGCUCCUCCUCAGUCUCAGCCCCGCCACACAAGAGCCUUUUGGAAUCUACAAGUUGGGUUCGAAUCCUGGCUCCGCCGCUGUUGACUGUGUGACUGAACAAGGCUGCCCUGUAAUCCCAGGCUCUACUGAGCUCGGCCAGAGACCGAGCGCCCAGCUGGUGGGACGGCGACCCCGCCCCAGACAGACAGACGGGGACCUUCACAGGCUCUCUGCCCACCUGGGUGGGGGAAGGGGCAGCUGGCAGACAGACACGGAGCUGGCUUCGCCUCUCUCUGCCCCCGUUCUCCAGCUCUUCUGUCUGGGACCCUUUGUGGGGCCAGGCAGAGUGUGAGUGACAGUUUCUCAGGAGCACUUGCUAAAGAUAUCCUCACACCUGGGACAACGGCAGUUGGCCCUGGAGCUGUCAGGGCUCCCAGCGCGCAGGUGGGCAGGCCCACAGCAGCCCUUCGCAGUCAGAGAAGACGGAACGUAAUUCCCCUUUGUUCUCCACGUCCAGGGGAGACCUCCCUCCCCAGCCCGUCCUGGAAAAUCUAGCCUCGUCUGUCUCCCCGCGGUUGCUGUUCCCCAGCAGAGCUCCGGCACGUCAGCCGGCAGAGGACGAGUCUCCUGAGGGGCCAUCAAAAGCGUGCCUGCAUCUUGGACAAACUUCAGGGAAGAAUACGGGUCCGGCUGCCAUCCUUGGAUCUCGGUUGGAAUGAUAAAGGGAAUAAUGAUAA